UCUUGACAUCCAGAGAACUUGGCAGAGAUGCCUUGGUGCCUUCGGGAACUCUGAGACGGGUGCUGCAUGGCUGUCGUCAGCUCGUGUUGUGAAAUUGUUGGGUUAAGUCCGCAACGAGCGCAACCCCUAUCCUUUGUUGCCAGCGAUUCGGUCGGGAACUCAAAGGAGACUGCCGGUGAUAAACCGGAGGAAGGUGGGGAUGACGUCAAGUCAUCAUGGCCCUUACGAGUAGGGCUACACACGUGCUACAAUGGCGUAUACAAAGAGAAGCGACCUCGCGAGAGCAAGCGGACCUCAUAAAGUACGUCGUAGUCCGGAUUGGAGUCUGCAACUCGACUCCAUGAAGUCGGAAUCGCUAGUAAUCGUAGAUCAGAAUGCUACGGUGAAUACGUUCCCGGGCCUUGUACACACCGCCCGUCACACCAUGGGAGUGGGUUGCAAAAGAAGUAGAUAGCUUAACCUUCGGGAGGGCGUUUACCACUUUGUGAUUCAUGACUGGGGUGAAGUCGUAACAAGGUAAGCGUAGCGAG
rnacentral:rRNA from 1 species